rnacentral:tRNA from 1 species
ACUUAUAUAGUAUAUAAAUUACAUUUAAUUUCCAAUUAAAAAAAUUAUUUAACUAAUAAUAUAAGUAA